CCUACGGGAGGCAGCAGUGGGGAAUAUUGGACAAUGGGCGAAAGCCUGAUCCAGCCAUGCCGCGUGUGUGAAGAAGGCCUUCGGGUUGUAAAGCACUUUCAGUGGGGAAGAAAGCCUUGGGGCUAAUACCCUCGAGGAAGGACAUCACCCACAGAAGAAGCACCGGCUAACUCCGUGCCAGCAGCCGCGGUAAUACGGAGGGUGCGAGCGUUAAUCGGAAUUACUGGGCGUAAAGCGCGCGUAGGCGGUCUGAUAAGCCGGUUGUGAAAGCCCCGGGCUCAACCUGGGAACGGCAUCCGGAACUGUCAGGCUAGAGUGCAGGCGAGGAAGGUAGAAUUCCCGGUGUAGCGGUGAAAUGCGUAGAGAUCGGGAGGAAUACCAGUGGCGAAGGCGGCCUUCUGGACUGACACUGACGCUGAGGUGCGAAAGCGUGGGUAGCAAACAGGAUUAGAUACCCUUGUAGUC
rnacentral:rRNA from 1 species